rnacentral:lncRNA from 1 species
GCCUCCUGCACCUCCCGCUACACCGUGGCGGGGCGGGCAGGGCGGGCGUCGAAGGCCUCCCCAGUUCCGGUUCCCCCCAGGGGUCCGCCCCCGCUGCAGGCGCCACCGCGGGUGCCCGGGGUCCCAGAGGACGUGCUGGCGGCUGCUCCAAAGCCCCAACUCUGCGCACCCCCGCGGCCACCGGCCCUGCGCGCGAGCCCCCGUCUCCCCCUUGGUCCGCUCUCGCCGGCGACGCCCGUCCUCCUGGCCGCCGAGCCCCCGCCUGUGCUGCUGGCUGUGGAAGGGCCGCGGUGGCCGCGAACCCGCGUCCCUCCCCUCCGCCGUGGCGACCCGGGCCGGGCCUGCCGCCGUACGCGUGCCGCGCGCGCCCUCUGGUGGCCGCUCCCCGCAGCUGCCCUGUCCUCGCGGCGCGGCGCGCACUGAUGGGAGCGGAUGGCCAAGGGCCAAGGGCCAAGGGCCGGCGCUGAAACCUCGGAAUGCCCUGGGACCAACAAAAGCAUCUUUCUUUGACAACUGACCACCAUGCGGCUCUUUCCCCUGGGCCAGAGGAAAAGAUCUCAUUUCUGAGUACAGAUAGUGUGGCCUCCAGGAAGAACAUCCUGAAAUGCAAAGCCUAGCCCAGGGGAAAGAGCCAGAAGGAAUAGGAGAGUCGGCUUCAGAUACUGUUCUGGGAAAAGGAGAUGGCUGUGAACAGGAGCAAUCAGAAGGGCCACAUGGAACCUGCAAGGGUUCAACUGGGUCAUGGAGAGUUCACUGAAAGCAGGUAUGGCUGGGGAAGGCCAUUAGAAGACACAGGCUGACAGGAUAUCCUUCCAUCAAGUCCCGCUGUUUCAAUGCCAGUCAGAAUGCAGCCUUCCAGGAUGACACGGAGCACCCUGCAGUGUCACGGGGAACCUGGCACCAGCCAGCUACACAGCCCCAGUAUGCUCCCCGGCAGCAUGACUCAGGCCUACCUCCAUGUGGCUGGGGGCACUGACCCGGCUACUUCACCCCUCUGGUGUUCACACUUUCCCCAAUGAAAUGACCCCUGCCCCCUCACAGGGCUGGGGGUGGCCAGGACUGAAUUAGGCUGUAACAUGUACCUCUCUCAAGGAAAGGAGAAAAUAAAUGUCAUAGUGAAGAGAAAAG